UACGAAGGGGGCUAGCGUUGCUCGGAAUGACUGGGCGUAAAGGGCGCGUAGGCGGUUCGUACAGUCAGACGUGAAAUCCCCGGGCUCAACCUGGGAAUGGCAGUGGAUACUGGCAAGCUAGAGUGCGGUAGAGGGUAGUGGAAUUCCCGGUGUAGCAGUGAAAUGCGUAGAGAUCGGGAGGAACACCAGUGGCGAAGGCGGCUACCUGGACCAGCACUGACACUGAGGCACGAAAGCGUGGGGAGCAAACAGG
rnacentral:rRNA from 1 species